GCCUGGGUGGCUCAGUCGGUUGAGCGUCCGACUUCGGCUCAGGUCAUGAUCUCGUGGUUCGUGAGUUCAAGCCCCGCAUCGGGCU
rnacentral:tRNA from 1 species